GACACUUCUGCAGAUGACUGAAAGAAUGAGUGAGCGUCUUUUUCCAAAAGUGAAAGACCAAGUGAAAUUUUUGUCUGCUGUAGAGAAGCUGAAAGAUGGAAGGCAACACAAAGAAAAGCAUACUGUGUCAGCACUCCAACCUAUGUUUAACUGCAAAGUGCAGUUUCCUCCAGCUGUGCUCACUGCGUUGACCAAUAAAGAUGCAGCACUAAAGUCACCCACCAAGAACAGACUCAAAAACAUGCUUAUUCAAGCACUGUUUGACCACUUGAGUAAUGAGACAAUGUAUCCCUCUCAUGUGCAGUAUGUAGAG